rnacentral:rRNA from 1 species
CCCUUAGAUGUUCUGGGCUGCACGCGCGCUACACUGAAGCGUUCAACGAGUAUUCACCUUGCCCGGGAGGGUUGGGUAAUCUUUUGAAAACGCUUCGUGAUGGGGAUAGAUUAUUGCAAUUAUUAAUCUUCAACGAGGAAUUCCUAGUAAGCGCGAGUCAUCAGCUCGUGCUGAUUACGUCCCUGCCCUUUGUACACACCGCCCGUCGCUCCUCCCGAUUGAGUGAUCCGGUGAAUAAUUCGGACUGCAGCACUGCUUGGUCUCCAGGCUUUGCAGCGGAAAGUUUAGUGAACCUUAUCACUUAGAGGAAGGAGAANUCGUANCA